rnacentral:sRNA from 1 species
UGCCUAACCCUCAGGAGCAAUUCUGAGGUAUGGCACAAUAAGAAAUCUCACGUGAAUAGAAACGGUCUUCCGACCGGCACUUAUUCACGUGAGUCAAUGUUUCGAAAGAGGCAUUGAGCAGUCCCGAAAGGGUUCUGUU